GCCGGAUGCGGUGGCACACGCCUGUAAUCCCAGCCACUCAGGAGGCCGGGGCAGGAAGAUCACGAGUUCAAAGCCAGCCUCAGCAACAGUGAGGCACUGAGCAACUCAGUGAGACCCUGUCUCUA
rnacentral:sRNA from 1 species